CUACGGGAUGCUGCAGUGAGGAAUAUUGCACAAUGGGGGAAACCCUGAUGCAGCAACGCCGCGUGGAGGAUGACGCAUUUCGGUGUGUAAACUCCUUUUAUCAGAGAAGAAAAUGACGGUAUCUGAUGAAUAAGCUCCGGCUAACUCCGUGCCCGCAGCCGCGGUAAUACGGAGGGAGCAAGCGUUAUUCGGAAUCACUGGGCGUAAAGGACGCGUAGGCGGGUUUUUAAGUCAGGUGUGAAAUCCUAUGGCUCAACCAUAGAACUGCACUUGAAACUGGGGACCUAGAGUAUGGAAGGGGCAGGUGGAAUUAGUGGUGUAGGGGUAAAAUCCGUAGAUAUCACUAGGAAUACCGAAAGCGAAGGCGACCUGCUGGGACAUUACUGACGCUGAGGCGUGAAAGCGUGGGGAGCAAACAGGAUUAGAUACCCUUGUAGUC
rnacentral:rRNA from 1 species